UCUUUCUAAAGUAUGAGCUUUCGACCCUAGU
rnacentral:piRNA from 1 species